rnacentral:rRNA from 1 species
ACGAACGCUGGCGGCAUGCCUAACACAUGCAAGUCGAACGAGACCUUCGGGUCUAGUGGCGCACGGGUGCGUAACGCGUGGGAACCUGCCCUUAGGUUCGGAAUAACUCCCCGAAGGGGGUGCUAAUACCGGAUAAUGUCUUCGGACCAAAGAUUUAUCGCCUUUGGAUGGGCCCGCGUUGGAUUAGCUAGUUGGUAGGGUAAAAGCCUACCAAGGCGACGAUCCAUAGCUGGUCUGAGAGGAUGAUCAGCCACACUGGGACUGAGACACGGCCCAGACUCCUACGGGAGGCAGCAGUGGGGAAUAUUGGACAAUGGGCGAAAGCCUGAUCCAGCAAUGCCGCGUGAGUGAUGAAGGCCUUAGGGUUGUAAAGCUCUUUUACCCGGGAUGAUAAUGACAGUACCGGGAGAAUAAGCUCCGGCUAACUCCGUG